rnacentral:snRNA from 1 species
AUACUUAUCUGGCAGGGGAGACACCAUGAUCAGGAAAGUGGUUUUCCCAGGGCGAGGCUUAUCCAUUGCACUCUGAAUGUCUGACCCCUGCGAUUUCCCCAAAUGUGGGAAACUCAAAUGCAUAAUUUGUGGCAGUGGGGGACUGUGUUCAUGCUCACCCCUG